UUUCUAAUUCUACCUGGAGGAGCUUGCUAUCUAACCGAUAAUCCGCGUUACACCUCACCAGCCUUUGAAAAAACAGCUUGUAUACCAUCGUCGUCAGUUUACUUCACGAGAAAUGUAAACAAAAAGAACAAAGCCUUCUCGACGUCAGAUCGAGGUGCAGCUAAUAGGCUGGGGAUAAGUGAGCUACAAUCAUACCACAAUAAAAAAACUAUAGAUGAACGGCAAGUUGACACACUUGCUCAAAACAGGAUUCAGAAGUAAUGGGUAAAAGAGAAUACCCACGAACAAUUAAGCCCUAGAACGCGC
rnacentral:rRNA from 1 species